rnacentral:ncRNA from 1 species
UAUAAAAAUACAGCUAAGGCAUGCAUUUGUCUUAGUGUAGUGCAUGGGAGAGCUGAAGACUGGAAACCAACUUUAGAUCAUUUUAGCCAAUCUUACACUGCAUUAGGAUUAUGACUCUCUUAAGGUAGCCAAAUGCCUCAUCAUCUAAUUAGUGACGCGCAUGAAUGGAUGAACGAGAUUCCCACUGUCCCUACCUACUAUCCAGCGAAACCACAGCCAAGGGAACGGGCUUGG